GAAAUGCGAUAAGUAAUGUGAAUUUGGGAAAUGUGUGUACUCCGGGUUUGAUCCUGGGUGUAUAUCUCAAUUGGACCUGAUAUCAGACAAGACUACCCGCUGAACUUAA
rnacentral:misc_RNA from 1 species